rnacentral:sRNA from 1 species
CGAACAAGACGAGAACAUUGACACCAGGGCUGACCAUAACCUGAUCAUCAGGCAGGCACGGCUCUCGGACUCAGGAAAUUACACCUGCAUGGCAGCCAACAUCGUGGCUAAGAGGAGAAGCCUGUCAGCCACUGUGGUGGUCUAUGUGAAUGGAGGCUGGUCUUCCUGGACAGAGUGGUCAGCCUGCAAUGUUCGCUGUGGUAGAGGAUGGCAGAAACGUUCCCGGACCUGCACCAACCCAGCUCCUCUCAAUGGUGGGGCCUUUUGUGAGGGAAUGUCAGUGCAGAAAAUAACCUGCACUUCUCUUUGUCCUGUGGAUGGGAGCUGGGAAGUGUGGAGCGAAUGGUCCGUCUGCAGUCCAGAGUGUGAACAUUUGCGGAUCCGGGAGUGCACAGCACCACCCCCGAGAAAUGGGGGCAAAUUCUGUGAAGGUCUAAGCCAGGAAUCUGAAAACUGCACAGAUGGUCUUUGCAUCCUAGGCAUUGAGAAUGCCAGCGACAUUGCUUUGUACUCGGGCUUGGGUGCUGCCGUCGUGGCCGUUGCUGUCCUGGUCAUUGGUGUCACCCUUUAUAGACGGAGCCAGAGUGACUAUGGCGUGGACGUCAUUGACUCUUCUGCAUUGACAGGUGGCUUCCAGACCUUCAACUUCAAAACAGUCCGUCAAGGUAACUCCCUGCUCCUGAAUUCCGCCAUGCAGCCAGAUCUGACAGUUAGCCGGACAUACAGCGGACCCAUCUGUCUGCAGGACCCUCUGGACAAGGAGCUCAUGACAGAGUCCUCACUCUUUAACCCUUUGUCGGACAUCAAAGUCAAAGUCCAGAGCUCAUUCAUGGUUUCCCUGGGAGUGUCUGAGAGAGCUGAGUACCACGGCAAGAAUCAUUCCAGAACUUUUCCCCAUGGAAACAACCACAGCUUUAGUACAAUGCAUCCCAGAAACAAAACGCCCUACAUCCAAAAUCUGUCAUCACUCCCCACAAGGACAGAACUGAGGACAACUGGUGUCUUUGGCCAUUUAGGGGGGCGCUUAGUAAUGCCAAAUACAGGUGAGUAGUAAGUGUGUGUUUGUGUAUUUUCCAUCAUUUAAAUGUUUCAUUUUUACACAGUUACUUCCCAUCAGAUUCAUUUUAUGAUGUUUACUGUCCCCUCAUCAGACCUGCAAACACUGCGGCUCCACUAGUCCACUUGAUUUACACAGCAAACCAGAACCAAUGCUGAGAUUAGAUUUUGCAGUCUUCAUCUCAGCAUGGAUUGAAUGCUUCCUUUGAUUCCCUGUUAGAGCUGAUAACUAUAUUUGCCUGAAAGGUUUGGGUAGUCCCCAGGCUUUAAGCCCCUUUGGAGUAUAUUUCCUAGGCAUGAUAAGAAAGCACUGAAAAAAUUCUCUGGCAUGACAGACCAGGGCCCCAUGUUUAUACCUAAGCAUGGUUUAUGUACUAGUUUGAUAAUUUAGAUAAUUUAGUGAAACGACAUCUCAUCAGUAACUGACCUAAUGAACACUCCAUAGCCCUUGCUAUAGUGUUACUUUCUGGUGAGCAAUGAUGAGGGGUCAUUGUGGAGUUACUCUUUUGAAUACAAACUUCAGUUCCAGGGCUAUGUCAGUAUAACGAAUUCUCACAUAUAUUUUUCCUCCUUUUAGCUGGAAGAGAGGAGAUUUUCAUGAUGUUUUGACAUGAUGCUUAAAGUAUCCAGCCCAGAUCACUUUUAAAAUGAUAUCUUUUCUAUGGAUUAGUUUUCAGAGUUGCUGCCUAAGACCUAAGUGGGUGGUAGACAAGGUCAAUUUCUACUCGGAUUUCUAAGCAAUGAGAAUUAGGUAGUGCACUGAAGCAGGUAGUGAUCUGUUGGCUGCUAAGAGGGAAGAGUAUCUGUUGGAUCUGUAAGUGUUUAUCAAACAACAGGUCAGCACUGAGUCAGGGACAUUAUAGUCUAGACAGAUGUCUCUCUAGGGUGGAGCUAACCAACCUCUCAAAUCAAGCAUUUCAUCCCAUAAAUAAAAUCUGUAAUAGGACUAGUCUGAUUCUAGCAUUCUAGCUAACUGACCCCUCUAGUAGCUUAGACACAAAACUGAAAUUCAUUUCUAGUUGAUUAAUAUUGUCUUAUUCUCCCCUAGAGCAAUUACUUCCUUAAAAUCUUCAUUGCAAAACAUAUUUUACUUCAUCAAAAUAGCCCUCAAUGGCAGCCGUAAUUGAAAGUUUUUUUUUUUAAAUUUCUAAUUCUCUAAAUCUUCAUUGGUCAGUGUUUUAGGACAUGGUAAGGACCUUGGUUCAAAUGUGUAUGCGUGUCAAUGUGUGGAUGCCUAUGCAUGAUUUAAUUCUUCCAGUUGAUAACUGGAAGAUAAUGAGUCAAUCAGCCAUAUUUACCAAUUAACUUUUCUGUAAGAAUUC